rnacentral:lncRNA from 1 species
AAAAAAAAAGUCUAUUAAAUCAUGUAUUAAUUACCAUAAAUCAAAUAGAAAAGCAAAAGACUAAAACAUAGAAAAUAUAAUAUUAUUUCUAAAGCAUGAACCUUUAAAACAUAUAAAUAUUUUUCUUUUUUCUUUUAAAAAAGAAUUGAAUGGAAAUAAUGCCAUAUUAUUCAUAUGGAUAAUUAGUUUAGUAUGUGUAGCAACAUAGUUGAUUACUAGCUAACAGACUUUUUUCUUUCUUUCUUUUUUCUUUUCUUUUUUCUUUUUUUUUUAAAAUUUUUUUUGCUUUGAAAAGUUUAUGCAUUUAUUAAAGAAUAUAUUCAAAUUUGGAUAAAACUAAAUAAAAUUUUAAAAUAAAAUAUCAAAAUUUUAUAUCGAACCAAUAUAAAAUGUCCCAUACGUAUAUUACGAAACCGAAACUGAAACAUAUUUUUACCUUUAACUCAAAACUGCAUACUUAUAUUUUUUUUUUUAAAAUAGCAGUUACCCCACCUAUAAAUAGACCUUUAAAACCAGCUUUAUCUGCAGGUUACCCCACCUAUAAAUAGACCUUUAAAACCUUCACGAUUUUGUUCCUAACCUUUUCCGAGAGUGAGAAUUCAGUUCUCAUAGUCUUCUUUCCUCCCUCCUUAAUUUUAUAAGGUUUUAGACUUUUGGUUGUGAGCCAUUAGAUACAUUUUACUUUGGGUGCUAGUCCUUCAAAGUGAUUGCAAGGACUUCAAGAUCUUCAAAGGAAUCACGCGUAUGUAUGAUUAUACUUUAAAGGUUAGUAAUCUUCUCCCUUUUGUUAGUUCAAAUUCAUAGUUUUAAAAGUAGUUUGCUAUAAUAGUAAAACCUAGAUCUAGGGUGCAUGUACAUUUAGGUUUAUUAUUAAAUGUUUACGUUGCCAAAAAUUUGUGUAUAAAUGCAUAGAAAACCCAUUAAUAAUAACACAUCAUUUUUAUUUUUGUACAAAAAAUGUAUUUGUAUAAGAAAAAUAAAGAUGAAUCUUGAAAUUACAUCACAUAAAAAUUAAAAAGUAAUAAAAUGAUGUUUUUUAUUUUAUACUUCAAUUUUUUUAGAUAAAAAGUAGAAAACAAAAAUAUAAUGAUGUAUCAUAGUUUGAAUAUUUUAGAUAAAGUUUAUCAACAAAAAUUAUUUAUAUAUUAAAUAAAAUAGAUUUUAAAAUUUGUAAGUUUUAAUUAUUUACUUAUAUAAAUAUAUUUUGAAAAAGUAUCCAAAGUUAUUAACUACCGGUAAUGUUUCUAAUAAUAGCAGAGUUUUAGGGUGCCCUUAUGAUCCAAUUGAGCAAAAAAAAUUAGAAGAAAUUAGUUUAUUAAUUUGUCAUGGUUUGAUAAAUUAACUAUAAACUAUUUUGGAAUCAAUUAAUUCAAGGGAUUAAAUAUUAAUUAGUUAAAAGUUAACUAGUUGGAAUAAUCCAUAAUCCCUAAGGGAUAAGGAAGAUUUUGAAAAUUGCAGUUAUCCAAUGUGGGAUUGGAGAUGCUUUUUGGGGUAAGCAUCUAAGACCUAUAAAUAGGGCGAUAGGGAUCACACCCUAAUUGCUCAUUCCCUUGUCUAGAAUUUUCACUGAUUCCUUCUCUGCCUCCUUGUGAAUGAUUUCCAAACUCCUUCUAGGGUUUGUUGAAAUCAAUCAUUUCUCCUAGUUUUCUUUAAUCCGCUCUUGGUGUUCUUGGUUGUGAACCAAAAGAAGAAUUUUGAUUUAGGUCCUCUUCAUCAAAGUCAAUGUGACUGUUACAAGAUCAGAAUCAAGGAAUUUCAAAAAGAUCAAAAGAUAUGUAAUUCUUUUUGUUUUCUAAGUAGAUUGUUAUAACUAGAAUGAAACCUAGAUCUUAUUAGGGUGCAUGAACACAUGAAUUUUAUUCAUGUGUUUAGAUUGCUAGAAAACCAUACGAUAUUACAAUUUUUAUGUUUUAGUUUUUUCUAAUUUUAUUUGAUUUAUGGUAAUUAAUACAAGAAUUAAUAGACUUUUUUAAAAUGUCACAAAUGGUCUUUAGGUGAAGUUUCACAAAAUAGCAGAAAAUAUUUCUUCAACUUAACAGAUCUAUCUAACGAACAUCUAUCAAAAGGACCACUAGAGUGCAAGGUUAUGUCCAAAAGGAUCAUUCAAGCAAAAAAAAAAACAAAAAGGUUCAUAAGGACUGUUUUAGGGACAAAAUCAUAAUCAUAAGAACCAUUUGUGAAAUUUUGUCAUGUUUUUAUUUAAUCUAUUUAAACAUUUGAUGUUUUUUUUUAAUAUUUUGUUUGAAUACAUUGUUUAAUUUGUUUUUUUUUUUGUUACAUUUUUUGAUGUUUUACUUGAAUAAUUUUUUCUAAUUUUUUUUUUUUGACAUUUUGUUUGAUUACAUUUUGAUGUUUUAUUUGUUUAUAUUUAUUAAAGAUUUCAUAGUCACUAUAAUCAUAAUUCUUAACUUAAUUCAUUUACAAUCAUGUGGCGGGAAUGACAAAUGUGUUAUUUAAAAAUUUAACACUAUUAACUAAAAAGAUUGUCUUUAUAAGAUUUUGUAACCACAUGGACUGUGUAAGCAAAAAAAAAAAUUGUCAUUAAGACCAACUCUCAUUGAUUUUAUCAAUCGUACAGACUAUUUAUAUAAUUUUGUUAAAAGAUUAUGAAUGACUUGUUUAUACCUUGAGGUUUCAAAUUGAGGAUAAAUUUAUAAGAAAAAGGGAGGUUUAAAUUUAAUUUAUAAGAUCAAAGGACGUAAAUGUAUAAAUUAUAAAUAGUUUGUUACAUUUUUUUUGCAUGUGAUAAUGUCACAAGGGUGUAUUUGGAAGGAAUAUUUUAUUUAUAAAAAAACCUUUGAUAAAAAUAAGACAAAAUUGCAAAAAUGAUCCAUAUGGUAUAUACUUUUUUGGGGUUUUAGUCCAAACCACGAUUUUUUUGGAUUGGUGGUCAUUUUGGCAAUGUUUCUAUGUAGAGAUGGUCCCCCUUAAACUUAAAAUUACUAAUACACCUUUUUAAUUUGUUUUUCUCAUUUUCAUCCUUUAUUAAAUAUUAACGUAAUAAAAAAAUAAAGUGGGGCCCACCCCACCCCACCUCUCUCUUUCUUUCUGAAAUUUCUUCCUAGAAAUUAAAACACACACACACACACACAACUUCAUCAUCUUCUUCUUUGGUCUUGUUUCUUACCCUUACUAUCCCUGUACAGUUAGUUAAUAAACACAGAUACAUAAAGCCAAGUAUCUGGGAAUUGAAGUAGAAAAUAAAGCCCCCAGAUUUUUCAAAUCUUCCUCCCAAUCUAGAAAAAAAAAAACCCAAAAUUCUCGUCAAAAUCAAGUUUAGAUACAAAAAAUCAUGCAGAAAGCCAUGUAUCUGGAGGAUGACGGAUUGAAUAUGCCAAAUUGGGGGUAUUACGAACCUUCAUCCCUACCACUUCAACCUCCCAAAUCUGGACUAUUAAAGAUGCGAUGAUUGAUUUUGGAAUCGAUUACAGAUGAUGCUGAUGCGAUGGCUGGUUCAUCCUAGGGACAUGAUUUUGAAGUCUGUGGUCAAUCCAAGUUGCAGGAAGAUGCUCGAACGAGGUGUUGUUUGGAAUAUUUGGCCGCUUUCUCUUCAAAUCCACCCCUCGAUCUAUAAUCUGGUGACGAAGAAUGUCAGAGCUAAGUAGUAAAUUGAGAUCAUGAAGUUGUUCGGGAUCACGAUUUACAGGUGAAUGGGAUUGCGAUUUACAGAUGAAAGGGAUUAUGAUUUACAACCUAGCAAUUUUUGCAACCUUUCCAAUGAUUGACUCAAAUGUCAAUCGUGUCCCCCUCCUUUGUUCUUCUCUGAAUCAGUGUGAGUAGAAGAUGAGUCUUGUAGAAGAAUGAUGAUAACAAUGGCACUAUAGAUUUGAACGAUGAUAGUUGUAAACCCAUGUAUUGUGGUUUGACCUGGCAGCUCCGUCUUUGAGAACUGUGUUUGUUUUUCUUAGUGAAUUGAAGAACACAUGAAGAAGAUUAGAGAGAAAGAAAGAGGAUAGUCUAAAAACCCUAACUCCGGCAUGAAAAGCAGCGACUCCGACGACUGAGAAGUUCUUAACCAGUGAUGGUGUUGUUGAUCGAUAGUAGUGGUAGUAUUGACAAGGAGUAAACAUCAAAAUAAUGGGAAUAUGACUCUUGUGUAGGAGAGAGAGAGAGAGAGAGAGAGAGAGAGAGAGAGAGAUGGCCCUUUUUUAUUUUUUUUAAUUAUUAAAACAAAUAAUUUAGUAUUGGAUUUAAAAAAAUGAAAGAAAAAUUGAGAAUAAAUACCCCAAGGGUAUUACAGUCAUUUCACUAUUUGGAGGGACUAAAAAGCGCAACGAAACUAGCUUAAAAGGACCACCAAUCCAACAAGUCAUAGUUUGGACUAAAACCCCAAAAAAAUGCAUACCACAUGGACCAUUUUUGCAAUUUUGUCUAAACAUAAUUGUUAUCUUUUAAAGAUGUAAACAAAACAAAAAUUAAAAGUUUCGAAAAGAUCUACUUGAUGUCUUGAAGAAACUUUUUACAUUACGAGAUUCUUGUUUAAAAUUACAUGUACUUCUGUCGAACAAAUUUUUUUUCUUAUGCUUGAGUUUUUUUAGAAGCUUAAAGCUACAAAGCACGUCCGUAUACGAUUUUUUUUAUAAUCGUUAAUCAAAGAUUCUGAUAAUUUACUUUUCAAACAAUACGAAUGAUUCAAAAUUUUAAGGGUCUAAAAACAAAUAUACAUAUUCAGAUAUUUUUAACUAAAUCACUUUAAUUUAGCAUUAAAAGCUUUCUUUUACUUACAUACUAUCCAUGCGAACUUUAAAAAGCAUAUGGUCUCAAGUUCUUAAUAUCAUUUAUAGGCAAUUUAUUGCUGAAAAUGUUAGAAGUGGAGUCUAAAGCACUUUGAACAUGAUAAAUUCAUUUCAAAUCACAAUAAAAAGUGUUCUAAAAAAUUAAAAUGAAUAUCGUUUUUGGGUUUAAAAGCUUGUAUGAUCUUGUUUAGAGGGAAAAUUACUAAAUUUGAACAAUAUAAAAUUACAUAAUUUGAAACUCAUUUUGUUCUAGUGUGUCCAGCCAACAAGAACAUCCUAAAUCUUAAUUUUAAAAGCUUAAAACCUUUCAAACUAUGUUCUCCAGUCGAUCACAUUUUCUGUUGAACCCAUUUGUCAAAUUGAAUAUUAUUGAAAAAUUCUUACAUGAUGUAUUCAGUUAAUAACAACAAUUACAUGAAACAAACACAUUAUACAUUAUAUUAAUUCUCAUAACAUUGAGGAACAAUAUACUUUACCCAUUUAAGGUUUUGGCCACAUCUGUUUAUUGAGUUUGACAGUUUCGUCCUUGAUAAUUCAUAAACCACUUCUGGUGUUUUAGUAUGUGAUUUCAACUUUCUUCCCCACUGUUCACACUUCGGUUCUUUUGUUUUGUUUUGAUUCAGAUACCUAUAUUUUCUUCAUUCAGUUUCACUUGCACAUGUUUGAACUUAUGUUUUGUUUUUACUUUCAUCAUGGAAUUACUUGAGUUUGUGAAGCUUUGGAUUGUGAUUUUAGUGAAAUUUGCUUCUAGGUUGGUUUGAUUGAAUUGAUCUUAGUUUUUUAUCAAGAAAUUUUGUUCAUUAGCUAAAUUAAUUGAUGGACAUGACAGAUUUUGAUUAUUGGUGAAUGAAAGAUUUGUUCUUUGAUCAAAAUGGUUUAUAGGUUGCGAAAUUUACAGGGUCGGUCCAGACGGUGAUCGACCUGUGCGAUCGCCCACAGCCCACGUCUCUAAGGGGCCCAUGUUUUAUCGGUUUGUAGUUUCUAUAUAUAAGUUUUUUUUUUAUUUAUUUAUUUUACAUGUUUCUUUGGGCCCCAAGUCAACCCAUCUUCAAAUUAGCGCUAGAAAGAAAACAAAUUGGCCUGUUUACAAGCUAGUUGAAGGAGAGAAAAGUAGGAACAACCGAAGGAAGAAAGCGGGAGUUAGGGCGCCUUGUGAAUCAAAAUUGACAUCCUCGAUGACUGAACUGUCUCUACAUCAAGCGGAAACUCCAUAAGAACUCUAAAGAUGAAUUCAAGUAUCAAUUCAAGAACCGUCAGUAUGUCAUCUACUUUCCCUCUUGCUUUAAUCGUUAUCUAUUUUUGUCUAUUAUAUUCACUAUCAAAUUCUCCUCUACUUCCUACUCUUGUAUCUCUCAGUACCUCUCGCAUUCACCUUCUAGUUAUCACUCUCUCGAUUCUUGACCUCGCCUGCCCCUUCUGUGUUGAUUUCUAACGUGUUAGUAGAUAACAUAUAAGGUACGAUUUUGUUGAUGGUCUUUUUGUUUAUGAAACCUUAUAGGUUUGUAUAUUAGGUUUUUGUGUUUGAAUUUUUCUUCUCAUUUUUGGUUGGUAUAUCAGAUUAUUGUUUCUAAAAUGUUAUAAGUUUUCUUUAUAAUUUUUGUUUGCACAGAUUUCUGAACUUGAUUCUUUCAGAAAUAAUGAAACUCAACACUCUAAGUUUCAAUCUUUUUCUCUCUAUAGAGUACUAUGUUUGUACAUUCUGGAUGCAAUUGUAUAAUCAUAAUGUUCCAAAUUUUCUGAUGUUUAUUUUGGUUAGCAGAUUUUUGAUUUUGUUUUAUUUAGCAUUUUUAUGACUUUUGUUAUUGACUUUAUGUUGUCGCUUACUUUGAUAUAAAGCUUCCACAAAAUUGACACAUAAAUCAGAUGUAUUCUUUAUAAAGUAUUGUUGAUAAUGUUUCAAAUUUAAUCUUAAAAUCAUUAUCUAGCACUUAUUGAAAAAGUAAGAUUAAAAGCAUAAAACAAUUUGAUUAAAGUAAGGUUCAUUAAUAUUUUAAGGUUCUUAUUAACUAUUCUUGCUAUUUUGUUAUUUUGAAGAGAGAAGUUUUGCAGAGCUUAUGUUAUUGAAGAAUUAUUAGGGUCAUCAAUGUCAUAAGAAAUGUUUAAUAAUCUUGCAAUAUUAUGUAUAGAGAAAUAUAUGUUACAUAACAUUUAUCUUGGUAGUAUUAUUAAUGAUUUUGCAUCUAAAAGCUACAAGAAGUAUUUUUCUUUAAAUUUAUUGUUUUUUUGUAAAUGUUGUGGCUUAGUAUUAUUGAAAAUAUUAUUAAUAAUGUUUGUAAAUGGUAGGUCUGUUUUUGAAUUUUUAUUAUAUUCGAUUUUGGGGGCCUUCUUUUUUCUUCUCACCCCGGGCCCAAACUAUGUUUGGAUCGGCCCUGGAAAUUUAGGAAAAAAGAUUUAAUCUUUCCACUUGGAUGGCUUGGUUGACUAAUGGGUUAGAGAAAUUUCAACGUUUUAUGAAAUUAAUGAUAACUAAUUGGUAAAUUUAAGUGGGCGUUUUUUAAUUUACUUUGAUUUCAGUCCUUAUUGCUUCUUAGCGAUUGAGUUCAUCUGUAAAAAAAAAUCUAAUUGAUCGUUUUCUACAUAAGAUGGUUUUUAUAAAAUAAGAUCAGUAAAGGUCAAGUGAAGUUUUCUAAUAAUAUUCUAACUUAGAUUCCCAACUCUAAUUUGUACAUCUAAUAUUGUUAAAUCUAUUGAUCAUUCACUUUUGUUGAUUCCAUUUACUUUGUGUCUACUGUCUUCUUGCUUUCUUCCUUUGCUACCAUUACUCUUAAUUGUUGUCUUGGAAGGUGUGUUAUGUAAAAUCUAUAUUAUCACUCCACAAACACAUAAAUUAUGUCGUGAAAAUACAACACGGGAAAGGUAUUUCAGGUAAGGGUCUUAUUUUGUUCCUAUGUGUUUUUGUUUGUGUACUUCAAUUUUUAUACUCUAACUGUUGGCAUUACACUAGGAUUUUGCUUUUCCUUUCGGUUUUAUCCAUUCAGAUUGAGAUGAUACUUCAAGCUAUAGAAUAUGAAAACCAUAUGUUUUCAGAAUGAGGGUACGUUUGGUUUUUAAAUUCCUAACGGAAUUGGAAUUUGAGAUUCCAUUCCAUGGUGUGUUUUGGAAUUCAGUUCCAUAAGAAUCAUUCAAAUCUAUAUUUUAUGAAUUUCAAUAUUCUUAGGUGAGGGUGGAUGGAAUUAAAUUAUAUUUGUUCUUUGUUGUUAAAAGGCCAAAAUAUGUUCAUUAUGCAUAUUGUUGUAAAAUAAAAAUAUAAAUUUCAAUUACAUGGAUUUACAAUUAAUUAAAAAAUAGUUAAUAUCCAUAAAAAAUGCAAAAAAAUAUUGGAUUUCCAUUAUUGAAUUUCGUUCCAAUUUCUAGCAAGUAAAUGCAUGAGAAAUUAUGAUUUCUUCAUAUUCCAAUUCCCUUGAUAAAUUCCAUUAUUUCGAAAAACAUUCUACAAACUGAUCUUUCCCUUUCACAUUUUAAGUAAAAAUAAUCGCAUUAUGCUAGGUUACGUAGUCAUCACGAUAGACUAAAUUUUGGUAUUAUUUGAAAUGAUAUUGCAUGCUGAUUAGGUUUUAUUUUUUGGAUAACAAUAUAGGGGUUUGGAGGAAUUUUUCCAUAUGGGGUUCCCUGAAGAGGUUUCACUUCUAAGAUAGGGCAAGUAAAUUUUUUAGAAGAGGAGGAUAUUUUUUUAAUGGAAGAACAAAAUAAUUUGAAAAUGGUACAUUACUUAUAGAAAAGAAAAAAACAUCAUUUUCUGAGGUUGAUUAUAUCUGAAUCCUUCAAAGAAUGGGGGAUAGGAAAGUCAGCACAAAUAUAAUAUUUGGGUUCAGUUGCUAAUUUCUUAAGGAAGAAUUGGACUUACAUGAAAUAUUUUCUAUUUUUUUGUCUAAAUUCAUGAUUUUUGAUGGAAUAUGGAUGUUUAGCAGCAUUUUGCGCUUUUCAUUCACUUUCUAUCCAUCAAUGGAAGACUUCCUCCAAGGCCUCAUCAACCAGGUUGAAGCAGGGAAACUAUCGCUCCAAAAUAUCGAAAGCGGUUUUGCCCAUCACCAACAAGCCAAAGAAGAGAUCAUAGAGAAGAUGGACAACCUCCCACAAUACAUGAAUUAUCUCACGACAAACAACAUCGUCAUCAACACCAAGCAUGAGGCUAGCAGUGAUGAUACAGUCUUUCCAAACUAUAUAACAGAAAGUAACCUGACAUCAUAAAAAACCUGAAGAAAACAAUACCAAACAAUACAUGUAUGCCUUCAAGUUGUAUCUAAUGUUCCAUGUACCACUUAUGUCCAAAACCUACAUUCCAACUUAUGCUAUCAAUCAGGAACAAUACAAAGACAAUGCUAUAAGAAAAACAAUAAUAAUAAUAAUAAUAAUAAUAAUAAUAAUAAUAAUAAUAAUAAUAAUAAUAAAUUGACCCCAUUACAUAGCAUGGCUUUUUUCCUAGUUUCCAUAAAUCUACAUAAAAAAGCUCUUUAAAAACUCGAGUAUAGUCGUUAACUUAUUUUUUCCCUUUUAGAUCUUCGGAGAAUUAAGAUACUACUUUUAUAUUAUUGUAUAGAUAUAUGCAAUAUCUAUACAAUUUCAAAACUCUUGAAAUGAGAUUUGAGUAUACACUAUGCCUCACUUCAAUCUCUUUGCGAUCAAAUUUGAUGUCACUACAAUUCUUCUAAUAUAGUGUUAGGUUAGAUAACAAUUUAAUAAAUGUUGUGUUUACUCAAGUUAUAUGUGUAACAUUCUUCUAAUAUGUUGUGUUGUGUUUCCUAAAGAUGUAACAUCCCAAAAACACUAAAGAUGUAACAUCCCAAAAACAUGAUCCCAAAAUUUUCAUUUUUAAUUCUAGUAAAAAUACUAUUCCAAAAUAUUGUUCAUACAACCCAAUAAAUUAAGUGUGUCAAACAUCAUAAAAAUCAGAGUGUGUCUCAUAAACAGAAUCCAUAUGGUGUGUGCAAUGCAGUCAUCCCGAGCCCUUUCCCUUAGACUGGAAGUACCUAAAACAUAAAAUGAAAACCGUAAGCUCAAAGCUUAGUGAGUUCCCUAAACUACCCCAUACUAUACAUAAUUAAUCACAUACUAGGCCCUUGCCCGACAUCGUGCCCCGCUCGGUUUACAGAUUUAUUAUUCUCUGGCCUCGCCUGUCAUUGGGCCUCACCCACUAUGCACAUACAAUAUAUAUCACAUAAUCAUGCUAACACAUAUAAUAAUCAUAAAACAAUAGCAUAUGUUCCAGUCAUCGGGACUCGACCGACAUCGAGCCCCGGCCGACAUCGAGCCCCACCCGGUAUACAUAGCAAUGCACAACAGAUGCAAGGGCCACGCAGACUCCUAACAUCCUAGCAUAAUCAACAAGGGCCGGCAUUGGCGCCUUAGACCCAAUAAACCUAGUGAGGAGACUCACCUCGAAUGCUGAACGAUAGCUAAAUAGGUCCCGACUUUGAAUAUCAGCUCUACCCAACACCUAAACAGUAAUAAUUCCUUAGAUACAACUCAAAAUACGUCAACACCCCCUUAUUAGUCAAACAUGGUCACAGAAAAAAAUUCAAAAGUCAAGGUCAAUGGUCAAUGUUGACCUAACACACCGUGGUUCCCUUUGACCAUGUCAUGUUUCCCCUUUAUCCUCGCAGGCGGGAAAAUGCUAGCCAACACGUCGUGUUUCCUCGAGUUCUAGCAGCUUAAUACAUUAAGCUAUUUCCUUCGUCUCCAAGAGUUCCCAAGCUCAGAUUUGAACCCAAUAGGUACUUAGAAGGGUAAAGUUUCAAACUUUACCCAUAGGGGCUACCGAAAAGGAUCCAAAUCUCAAACCCGAAGGCUUAAUAGCUCAAGGAUUAACCAAUAAGUACUUAAAUCAUGAGUUAAAGCCCCAAAACACAAAUCUGACCUCCUUGAGCAAGAAAACCACAUAAAGUUGCUAGCUUUACGUUUAUGCAUGCCUAAAUGAAGCUCUUAAGCUUAAAAAGGAACUUAAUGCAUGCAUGGGACCAAUUCUUCUCAUAAAGCUUGCACCUUUAAGCUCAAGGGGUCCAUUGCAACUCAGAUCUGGAAUAACAAACCCCAACAUGACUUCUCACACUCUUCCACCCAACAAGACCAAAAGCAUGAAUUAAGGAGAUCUAAAUGUCUACUAGUCAAGGUAUGAACUUGAUACCUCAAAGAGACUGCAAUAAGUGGAGAGAUUCUAGAUCUAUGACCUUCCUUCCAAGCUAAGCAUCUUAAAUCUUCAAGCUUCCCUUAGAAAUGAGCAAAAUAACCACAAGAAUCUACUCAAGGCUCAAGAACACCAUCAAGAAAGCUAAAGGGACAAAUUAGCAUUUUAGCAACAAUGGAGGCUGGUAAGGAGACCCGAUCUUGGGCAGUUACGGAGAUUAUAUAGGGUGCAACACCCUAAAAUUAGGGUUUCCUUCUCAUCCAUCACCACGUCGUGUUGAGACACCACAACACGUCGUGUUGGCUCAUUAAACUCUGUUGGCCAAAACCAUAUCACCACGCCAUGUUCAAUGAUAAUUCAUGAACAAAUUGGAAAUAAUUUCAUACCUAGAAUCGUGCGUUACAACUCACCCCCACUUGAAUCAAACUUCGUCCUCGAAAUCCGCCACCUCAAAUAACUUCGGGUAGUGCUAUCUUAUCUCAUCCUCCAGCUCCCAAGUCCAUUUCGAUCCAGACUUGAUUGGAACAUUCAUUAGUAAGCAGACAUUGAUCUUAAGUAUUAACUCAAGGUUUGAGUUUUCAAACCUUGUCCCUACGCAUCAGAUCAAUUUGUUCUCUCAAUUGGUAUCAGAUCUUGAGUGCUUGUCCUUUGAAUCCACAAGAUCAUAUUAUAGUUGGUUUGAAAUUACCUUGGUAUUUCAACCAUUUAUGUGUUAAGGAUAAAAGUUCUUCUAUAUACCACUUUUGCUUGAAGAUACCUUAACUUCAAUGGCUGCUUCUAACACUCAACAAAUGAUUUCAAUGCAAAUCGCAAAUAGCAUGGUUGGCCCUACACGUGCCCCACUGCUAUUUGUGGAAGAAUAUGAUCACUGGAAAGUUAGAAUGAAAAGUUUUUUACUAGCUAAAGAGAAAGGUGAAGCUAUUUGGAGAUCCGUCAAAGAAGGCCCUCAUGUUCCUGUAAGAACGGUUGUGAGAGAUGUUGCUGCUCAGCUUAUGGGUCAAGAUGAGACUCGUCCCGCUCGUCUAACCGCAGAUGAUAUUAAGAAGCUGCAUGUUGAUCAAGUUGCUUUCUCAGAAAUGGUGUUUGGUGUCCCUCCAUCACUCAUUGAACACAUUAAGUUAUGUAAAUCAACAAAAGAGAUUUGGGAAACUCUCCAAGAUCCGAUCGAAGGUUCGGAAAACAUGAAAGACAAGCAUCUCACCUCGGUUAUCAAUGAUUUUGACACCUUCACUACCACUCCUGAUGAAUCAGUGGCCUCAACCUCUAACCUUUACCAAAUCGUAGUCAACAACACAAUUUCUCAUGGGAUUGUCCGAACUCGCUUAAAGUAUAAUCUCAAGUUCAUAAACAGUCUUGGUAAAGGAUGGAGAAAUGUGAAAUCUUGUCUGCAAAGUAAUGGUUCUUUGAAAAAGUUGAAACUUUAUCAACUCUUUGAUGAACUUCAAGGACAUGAAUCUAAUGUUGCUUAAACUAUAAGGGAACUCUCCUGAGGUCCUCUUGCUCUUGUCAGUUCCUUUAAACCAACCAUUUCGAACACAUCCACCUUGGACCUUUUCAAACCCAUUGUUCCACCUGUUCAAUCCUCCAUACCUAUCUUACCCACACAUAAUUAACCUGUUGAUGAUUCAGAAUCCAUGGACUCUGAACUUCGUUUCCAUCAAGAGUUUGCUUUAUUCUCCAUGAAAUAUAAACGUCCUUUCAAUCCCUCUUACAAACCAUACCAAAGUCGGUUUCAUGCUCCUCACCAAAACAAUACUCAACCAUACUCAACUUCGGAACCACAACCAACUUUCGAAAAUCCUCCUUUAUACAAACCAAACAUUACAAAGCCAAACUCUAAUCCGGAACCACAGCAGAAUCCAAAAUCCGACAAACCAAAAAUUAUGUGUCACAAGUGUGGACAUGCAUACCAUUUCGCAAAAGAUUGCUUGGUUGACGCUCCAUAAAAACUAAAGAUCAGGACUCUACAUACUACGCCCGAAAAGCUCAAGGAAUGGCAGAAAUUGAAAAAGCAUUUGUGACAACUGUAUCAAGGGAUGCCGAAGGAUAUUGGUCAUCCGGAGAUGAUGAUGACAUGGUGACUAGAAGAAACAUGUGCUUGAUGGCAAGACAAACUUUUGAGUGUGAUGAAGGCUACUAGUCCUCUGGGUCAGAAGAUGAAGAUGAUGUUGUUGAACCACACUAUUGCUACAUGGCCACCAAUAAUCCACCUGGUCGAAGCAAUGUUCAACAGGUAAAAUCUAUGACUACUGAUAAUGAUUUUGAUAUGUCUCUUUGUGAACCUUAUCUAACCCAGAUCCAAACAGAUAUGAGCACCAUCUAUAAAGCCUAUGAGUCCGCCAUAGAAGAAAGUGAGAAGAAGGAGUGUGAAUUAAAUCGUCUUAGGUUACGCUUUGAGGAUAAAAAGUUGAAAAUUGAGUCUUUAGAGCAUGAGCUUGUAAUGUCAAAAAAUGAAUGUAUCAUUCUAAAAGACAAAUGUGAAAUCACCUAUUCUGAAAGAAACGUUUUAAUUCCCGAUAACAAAUGUCUCAACGCAAAAAUAGAUGCUUUGCAUAAUUCCAUUGACAUACUUGAAUCGAAUCAACGAAUGACUCAUAACUUUCAUCAUCCUUGGUCAAAAGCUCCUAGUCUCGGAAGCGAGUUUCCAAAACCAAUAGCUAGUCCCUUGAAGGAGUUGUAAAAUCUAACCGUUAGGGGAGAUGCUCCAAACCGUUAACAUUCAGAUGCACCUGUCUCUCCCUUGUCACCCCUUCUUGAGACUAAUGACAAGUUCGCAUCCUUGAUUCCUGAGUUUCAACCCAUAGUUGUCAAGAGUCCGGAUUCCAGGAAAUUUCCGCCUCUGAUAAACCUAAACCUGAAUCGGACCUCUAGCACUCAAAAGUCUGUUGUUUAAAAUCCAAACCUCAGCCCUCCUAACAAUUAUCUUGUUGAGGAAAUUUUUUCGGAAUCAACUUCAUCUGAACCAUUAGAGUGUGUUUGGGCAUCUUUAGAUAGUGAAGUCGAUGAGAUAAUUUCAUGUGAUUCUGAACCUUAGGUGAUUUCAAAGACAAAUCUGGUUCCCAUUAAGGCCGUGUUCAACAAUCCUUCGUUAGGACAAAUUUUGAAAUUUUCGUCUCAAUCCAAAAGAUAGCCAAUGUUGAAUAGGAAGGAUAUUGUAGACCCUAAGGUGGAAGAUCGGAAAGCACACAAAAAGGAACUUAAGAUUAGAAAAAAUUCAAGAUUACUUGAGAACUUCGAAAAGUGUGUAUCUCGGAAUUCUUGCUCAUUAACCCAUAGUCAAAACUUCUUCACACCCAAUAAGAUACUCAAGAGACCCUCAAAUCCUCCAAGUCCUGUAGAACAAAAGAAGGUGGUUAGCACCACUAAGGAAAAGUCAAAAGUAAGUCCCACAUCUAACCGAAACACCUCGCCUCAGACUGUUUCAUUUGUUUUUAUUACAAAAUCUGAUGGAACAACUUUUAGACCUCGACUUUCAAAAUCGAAUGUGUCAUCAAGCAAACAGAAACAUGUUAAGAAAACAAAAUUUUGAAAAUCUUCAAAACAAAACCUUGUUUGGAAAGUGAAAAAGUUCGUGACUUCGGACGAGAUAGUGACUUCCACUGCUCCAGAAACAUCAGGUCCGAGGAAAGCCAUUCCGAACCCUUAAGUCAUCGAAUAUGACUAAUGGAUAGAUGAAAAGAAAUUAAACUUUUUUUUCCUAAGAACUCAAACAACAUUCUCAGGAAACAAAAAGUUGUUCCAAAGUCACAAUCAAAGUACAAAGCCCGUGCCUAUGUCCCUAAACCUAACUCGGAGCCUAAAAGCUCCACCACUCACUACUUUUGUAGGCACUUUGUGCUUCAGAGCAAGAAACAAUAUAGUAUAUUGAUAGUGCUUGCUCUAUGAACAUGACAGGGCAGAAAGACUUUCCACGGGAUCACAGGCUUUCUCCAAACGCUGGUUACAUGACGUAUGGCAACAACUCCAAUUCUCAAAUUCGUGGUUAAGGAAUUCUCACCAAUGGAAUUUUCUCUAUCUAAAAUGUGGCUUAUGUAGCUGACCUGAAACAUAAUUUGAUAAGUGUAGCUCAGCUCACUGACUCAAAUCGACGUGUUGAAUUUUGCAAGAAGCACAUCUCUAUAAUGACUAAAGACCGAAAAUAGUGUUUAAUCAAGUCAAAUCGCAACAAGAAAAUGUACCCACUCGACAUCAACAUGAUUAUUGGCAAAUUGAAACUUUGCCUUCUCUCCAAAGUCGUUCCUGGUGUCAGUUGGUUAUGACACCGAAGGCUUGCUCAUCUAAACUUUCGGUACAUGAAUGAUCUCAUAUCUGGUGAAACGGUGAGAGGUCUACCUCUUCUCAAAUUUGAAAAUGAUCAUUUAUAUGCUGCAUGUGAGUGUGGAAAGCAAUCGAAGAAGGGUCAUCCUGUUAUCGUCAAAAAAAUAAUUUCGGAACCAUUGGAGCUUCUACACAUUGAUCUCUGUGGACCAUCCAUUAUAGAGAGUCUUCAUCAUAAGAAAUACAUUUUCGUGAUCAUUGACGAAUUUAAAAGGUUCACUUCGGAAUUCUACACCCACUCAUGUUACAACUCACAUUAUGGAGUCCGAUGCUCUAUCCCCAGAAUGUCUGAAUAUUCAGAUAAUUCAUGAAGUUGAUUUUGAAACUCUUUUUGGACCAUUCAAAACAACACUUGAUUCGGAAUCUUGAUCAAGUCAGCCUUCAUCAUCCCUUCCUACUUCACAACCUAUUUCCGGUCCUCUACCCUCUCUUUCUCCAUUUGAUUCCGAACCAUUUCUACCUUCUCAGGUUGAGGGGGAGAAUGGUUAACCCUCUCUUGAAUCAAAUGUAGAUGGAUUUCUUGAUGCAACUGCUGAAUUUGACUCUAAUCCGAUCAACAACGAUGACGACGUCAACUUCUCUGAAUUCCCGCCCGAGGACGAUGUCAACCUCUCCGGUUCCGAAGUUUAGGGGGAGCAUCACUCACAAGUUCAAACCAUUCAGGGGGAGCAAAACAACUCUAAAAUCGACGUUCAAUCUUCUACUGAUUAAGAACUAUCAAGACUUCACAUCUAGAAUUCAGAUCACCCUCCAAAGCAAGUUAUUGGAAACCCUAAUGCUGGUGUUCAAACUCGCUCUACCACAAGCUCAAAAUGAAUGUCAUUUUUCGGCAUUUAUCUCCAUGGUUGAACCCAAAUCCACCAAGGAAGCAUUAGAACAUGUUGACUGGAUUACAGCCAUGCAAGAGGAAUUGGCGGAAUUCGAUAGAAAUGAAGUUUGGUCUAUCGUCCCUCCUCCUCAGAACCAUCCCAUUGUCGGUACUAGAUGGGUGUUUCGCAACAAGUUAGAUAAUGCAUGACUUAUCAUUCGAAACAAAUCAAGAUUGGUGGCCAAAGGAUUUACACAGAUUAAAGGCCUUGAUUAUGAUGAGACCUUUGCUCCUGUUGCACGUCUUGAAGCUAUCAAAAUCUUUCUUGCUUAUGCUGAUCACAAAGGUUUCAAAGUUUAACAAAUGGAUGUCAAAAGUGCUUUUCUAAAUGGUGAACUUGACACGGAAGUAUAUCUUCAACAACCUCCCGGUUUUGUUAAUCUUUCAUAUUUGAACUACUGCUACAAACUCCGGAAAGCUGUCUACGGCCUAAAGCAAGCUCCUCGUGCAUGGUACGAGACCCUCACCAAUUUUCUAAAGCAUUCAGGUUUUCAACGAGGUAUUUUAGAUCCCAUUCUAUUCCGAAGGUCAAAUGGAAAGCAUCUCAUGCUAGUCCAAAUUUAUGUUGACGACAUCAUUUUUGGAUCCACCGAUUCUUCAAUGGUUACUGACUUUGCUAAGUUAAUGGUCAGUAGAUUUCAUCUGAGCAUGAAUUGGGAAUUAAGCUUCUUUCUUUGUCUCUAAGUUAAACAAACUAACAGAGGAAUCUUCAUUCACAAAGAGAAGUACAUUUCGGAACUCCUCAGAAAGUACUCAAUAGACACCUGUACCUCAGCCAAGGUAUCAAUGGGUUUCAGACACAAGAUCUUUGCGGACCCUUCAAGUGUAGCAGUUGAUGAAAAGAAGUAUAGAGGAAUUAUUGGAUCCCCGCUCUAUCUCAUAGCAAUUCGUCCGGACAUCAUGUUUUCUACAUGUUUGUGUGCCAGAUUUCAAGUCAACCCAAAGAUGUCUCAUCUUUUGGCUGUGAAGAAAAUUUUCCAAUACCUCAAAGGUGUAAAGAGUCUCGGAAUCUAGUACCCAACAAAUGAGAGCUUCCGACUUCAAUAAUAUUCAGAUUCAAACUGUGGUGGUCUUCAAUUGGAUAGAAAAAGCACAUCAUGUGGCUGUCAAUUUUUAGGUGGUCGAUUGGUUAGUUUGUCAUCCAAGAAACAGAACUGCAUUGUGCUCUCUACAACCGAAGCAAAAUACAUUGCUACUGCCAACUGUACCUCUCAAGUUCUAUGGAUGAAGUCUCAACUUUUGGAUUAUGGUUACCAUUUUCAACGCAUUCAUAACUAUUGUGAUUAUCAAAGUGCCAUUGCGAUUUCGCACAAUCCAAUUCAACACUCCAUGACGAAGCACAUUGACAUACGUUACCAUUUCAUAAAAGAUCAUGUUUUAAAUGGCAAUAUUGAACUUAUUUUUGUUCCAUCUGACGAUGAAAUUUUUGAUGUCUUUACUAAGUCAUUAGAAGAAACCAAGUUCAAUGGUUUUCUGAACAAAAUGGGUAUGAUGAUGCAUGAUCCUCAAUUCUUUCAAGAGAAUUUUACUCUUUGAUGGCAACAGCAAAAAGUAUAAGUUGAUUCUGGAACAAAAUCCUUUUACUCUUCAGAAUCAUUUCCUCUCAGAACAAUCAAGAUCAUUUUAUGUGUCGUUUGACCUAACCUCCCAUCUCAGUGUUAAGUUGUACAGUCUCCUAGCUCUUUGAAGACAAAGGACCAAUAUAGUUACAUUGGUCAAAAUUUUAUCUCAGAAUAUACUUCAUAAUGUCAUCCCGAAAUUCAAAUCCUGAAAGGUAUGUAACUACUUUCUUAUUUCACUCUGUAAUUUUUCUCUCUGGAAUGCAACUUAUUUUAACUCCAAAAUAUUUUCAAAAUUUCACUCUAGAAAGUUUUUCAAACAUUUUUCAGAACUUCUUUUUUAAAUCACUUCUCCAUAAACUUUCUCAUAUUUGACUCCGGAAUUUCUAAAAUUUCGUCUCCGAAUUUUUCUCAAAAGAUUUGGCUCCAGAACUCUACUUCAACUUUGGACUCCAGAAUUUUCAAACUUUACUCUGGAUCACUUUUAGCUCACAUGCUUCAUUUCGGAACAAAUCAAAAGCUUUCACUAUGAACUUCUUUUUUCAAGAAAUCUUUUUCAUAAUUCCAAAAUGCCUUCGUUCCGGAAUCAAAGAGUCAGAAGUCCGAAGGUUUAUAAUGUGAAAAUAACCAUAGCGGAUGCAUCUGAUGGACGUCAAGUGGUUGAUAUUAUCCCGCCGGGGCCAGAACUUCUUGUUUCAGAAGGCGAAUCUAUCAAAUUUGAGCAACCGUUGACAAGUAAUCCUAAUGUGGGCGGAUUUGGUCAGGGAGAUGCAGAAAUAGUACUUCAAGAUCCAUUACGUGUACAAGGCCUUUUGUUCUUCUUAGCAUCUGUUAUUUUGGCACAAAUAUUUUUGGUUCUUAAAAAGAAACAGUUCGAGAAGGUUCAAUUGUCCGAAAUGAAUUUCUAGACUCGCGGAUUUAUCGACCUCAAGUUUGUAAAAAGAACCAAAUUUUUUUUAGUAAUUAUGAUUAUCUAUGAUAAAAAAUAAAAUUCUAAAAAGCCUUUUGUUUGUUUAUACUCUUUUUCUACGAGAUGCCGGGAAUUCCUUGUACCACAUUCCUAGCCACAGUAUGUAGAUUGUGAAGAAGACUAUUUGACUUGACCCCUUCUUUCUUUGUUUUUGUUUUUUUUAUAAAAAUUUGGGGUGAUGUUAUUAUGUUGCUAUUGGCAGAUUAAAAUGUCAUAAAAUGCAUUUGAGUCUAAUAUAAUGGACUUCGGCUAGAUCCUAUACAAAAGUAAACGCAAAAUAGAACGGAUAAUUGAAGGGAACAAAUAUUUCUGGGAGGGGUUAUUCGUCUUCCUAGUCUUCGACACAAGAAAGGGGUGUGAAAAAUCCUUUUCUUGUGUCGAAAUAAUAAUGAUUCUUGAUACUGUUCGUCAAACAUUCCUAGUGUUAGUUUCUAUUUUUUACAGACGUAUCAGAACGUUUUUUUAUAGUUAUUACGUAUUUUAUUUAUUCUUAUCUUAUAAUAAUUACGUAUACUAUAAAUAAAAAGUGGUGGACAAACAAAAGAGGAGGGGAAAAUCUGUUGAGUAAAUAGAACUUCUUCAAUGAACUUAUAAAAAAAAAUAUUCUAAUUAUUAAGAACUCAACGGGACCUUCUCCCUCAAAUCAGACAAACAAAGAAGGGAAUCCGUUGAGUUCUUACGCUUUCAUGUCUACAACUCAAUUCAUCCGAUUACUACAGGGAUGAACCCAAUCCGGAAUAUGAACCAUAAAAGAAAACACCUACUAAACCGAUCACAAGAAUACCAGCUACAGUACCUAUUAUCCAAAGAGGAAUUCUUCCAGUAGUAUCGGCCAUUUACCCCACUUCCCUCCACAUUUCAUCAAGUGGUCAUGCUAGAGACAUAAACAGUCAUGGAUAAUUAUGAGAUGAGAUCCUUCCGAAUGGGGUAAGAGAAAGAAUACCUAGAACGAUUAGUCUAUUAUUUUAGUUCUCUCUCCUUUUCUUAAUUGAAGAAAUAAUUGGAAAAUAAAACAGCAAGUACAAAAAUGAGUAAUAACCCCCAGUAGAGGCUGGUACGAUUCAAUUCAACAUUUUGUUCGUUUGGGUUUGAUUGUGUCGUAGCUCUAUAAUUCGGAUUAGGUUUAUCGUUGUAUGAACUGCAUUGCUGAUAUUGACCCCAAAAAAGAAACGGUAGGUACAGCUAGGCCGUGAACAGUCAACCAUCGCACUGUAAAAAUUGGAUAGGUUCGAUCUAUGGUCAUUGAAGCCUCCUAAAAAGAUCUACUAAAUUCAUCGAGUUGUUCCAAAGAAUCAAAACGGCCGGUGAUUAAUGGAAUUCCUUGUCGGUUUUCUGUGAAAUACUCGUUUGGCCGAGGGCUUCCAAACACAUCGUAAGCUAAACCAGUGCUGACGAAUAACCAACCCGCAAUGAAUAGGGAAGGUAUAGU